rnacentral:rRNA from 1 species
UACGGGGGGAGCAAGCGUUGUUCGGAUUCACUGGGCGUAAAGGGUGCGUAGGCGGUCGGGUAAGUCUGAUGUGAAAUCUCACAGCUUAACUGUGAAACUGCAUUGGAUACUAUCCGGCUCGAGGAAUGGAGGGGAGACUGGAAUACUUGGUGUAGCAGUGAAAUGCGUAGAUAUCAAGUGGAACACCAGUGGCGAAGGCGAGUCUCUGGACAUUUCCUGACGCUGAGGCACGAAAGCCAGGGGAGCAAACGGG